rnacentral:rRNA from 1 species
UUCCUACGGGGGGCAGCAGUAGGGAAUCUUCCACAAUGGGCGAAAGCCUGAUGGAGCAACGCCGCGUGGGUGAAGAAGGUCUUCGGAUCGUAAAACCCUGUUGUUAGAGAAGAAAGUGCGUGAGAGUAACUGUUCACGUUUCGACGGUAUCUAACCAGAAAGCCACGGCUAACUACGUGCCAGCAGCCGCGGUAAUACGUAGGUGGCAAGCGUUAUCCGGAUUUAUUGGGCGUAAAGGGAGCGUAGGCGGCCUGGCAAGCCUGAUGUGAAAUACCGGGGCCCAACCCCGGGGCUGCAUUGGGAAC